rnacentral:tRNA from 1 species
UAAACUCCUUCUUAAAUAGGGGUUCGGUCCCCCUCCCAUUAGGGAGGGGUCCCUCACUCCUUCGGGGUUCGGUCCCCACGGGUCCCU